UCACUCUCUGACCGCUGUCCGCAGAUCCAGGUCAUCCGUGUCCGCACUGCGGACAAUCGCGAGACGCGCUCGGCCAAGGACGCUCUGCUGCUCUGGUGCCAGAUGAAAACGGCCGGGUACCCGGGGGUCAAUGUCCAGAAUUUCACCAGCAGCUGGAGGGACGGACUGGCCUUCAACGCCCUCAUCCACCGGCACCGGCCGGACCUGCUGGACUUCCAGAAGCUGACCAAGUCCAACGCCGUCCA